GAAUUGCGAUAAGUAAUGUGAAUUGCAGAAUUCAGUGAAUCAUCAAAUCUUUGAACGCACAUUGCGCUCCCUGGUAUUCCGGGGAGCAUGCCUGUUUGAGAAUCAAUAAAUCUCUCACCACCAUCUCUGUUUGGUAAAACUCACGGAUCUGGAGGUGGAUCUGAGUCCUUUGCGUUCUCACGAACACAAUGACUUUAAAUUCAAUGUCUGCAGCUUUCUUCUUGGUAAGGAAAUGCUUUGAGUGCAUGAACUGUUUUCAUUAACUAAGAAUUCACUCUUUCAAGCAUUCCCAUUUAUCCUUGGGAAACUUGUUGUCGGACUCAACCAUUACAUCCUUGGGGGCUAACGCUCUCAUCGAAUACUUGGUCUCAAAUCAGGUAGGAAAACCCGCUGAACUUAA
rnacentral:misc_RNA from 1 species